UACGUAGGAGGCGAGCGUUGUCCGGAGUUACUGGGCGUAAAGGGUGCGUAGGCGGCGCGGUAAGUCGGGUGUGAAAUCUCGGAGCUUAACUCCGAAACUGCAUUCGAUACUGCCGUGCUUGAGGACUGGAGAGGAGACUGGAAUUUACGGUGUAGCGGUGAAAUGCGUAGAUAUCGUAAGGAAGACCAGUGGCGAAGGCGGGUCUCUGGACAGUUCCUGACGCUGAGGCACGAAAGCCAGGGGAGCAAACGGG
rnacentral:rRNA from 1 species